rnacentral:ncRNA from 2 species
CUUUAAUCAAGGCAGUUCGGUUGCCGGUCAAGGCUCUCCUGUGCGGAGCGGUCCUGGUCGACUUAGAGGGAAGCCGGUGCGAGUCCGGCGCAUGCCAGCCGUUGCUGUAAGCGGGGACGAAGGUCGCAUUAUGCCACUGUCCGUUAUGGAUGGGAAGGCGCGGCCGGAGAAUGAUCCGCAAGCCAGAAGACCUGCCGGACUACAGAGUUUCUG